GUGAAGCUAGGCUAUGGAAAGGGCUCACUAAUACUCAAGAUGAUGAAAUUGUAUUGGCAAUUAGUUUUGGUGGUACAAUGCUGUGGGAAUAAAUUCAUCUUGCUUCUGAUUCAUAUUUGUAUUUCUUUUUAGGGUGAGCCAAGUUUUCACUUAUUUGGUUUCAUCAUGUGUAUUGGUGCAACAGCUGCUAGGGCACUCAAAUCUGUGCUUCAAGGGAUUUUGCUGUCAUCGGAAGGGUCCUGGGAAAUGCAAAAGGAGCUGUAGCUGUUGUUGUCUCCAUCUUAAUAUUUAGAAAUCCGGUAUCAGUAACGGGAAUGCUUGGCUAUACAUUCACAGUUUUUGGGGUCAUACUGUAUAGUGAAGUAAAGAAACACAGUAAAUGAACUAUGGACAUGGAAAUUCCACUGUGACUUGUGAUUAGAAUUGAUUGUUGUUCAAGGGGAGAUUCAGCCUUCAAGAGGCAAGUCAGAUCAUGCUCUUGUUGAUGGGAUCUUGGAUUUUUCCAGGAAACGGGCUUCCAUCUGUAUCGGACAAGAGCCACAAUAUAUCAUAUAAUAGAAAAUCGUAACAAGUAACAUGAUUUGUCUAUCCAUUCUCUACCCUACAUGAGGUUAUAGAGAGAAAGAUCUUUAUUUUUGCAGGAAAUAUUGUACAAUUAAGACCGCAAUAUGUUAUACUACAGUGUUCUUAUUGAUUUGUCAGACAAAAGGAACUGAAAGUUACAGAUCUGCAAAUGACUUGUACAAAUCCA